ACAAAUGCAGAAGAGGAAGUAUAAAACUGGUGGAAGUAAAAGUCAUCUUUCCACCUGGACUGGGUUUUUUGCUCUAUCUUGGCUCUGAUAUCUUUAUUUAUUAUAUCAGUGUUGUUCAACAGUGAUCUUCCUCAUCAUCAAAUUUUAAUUUCCCUCUUUUUAAUUUGUUCACUCAUUUUUGCCAUUCCAGUCAUUCUCCUGACUGGUCUUUAACUCUUUUAUCCAUCUACUUCACAAGAUAUCUAGUUUUGUUAUGUUUCCCAGACUUUCAAAAAUUUAUUUUGAUACUGAUGUUUCAAGUUACAUGUGGCAACAGUCUUUCAAAAGAUAUGCCCACCUGAUUAUACCUGUCCCACUGUGGAAAAUGAAUUUUUGUUUCACACACAUUCUCAGAUUACAAAUUCUUGACUCUGUACAUUGAACCCACAGUCAUAACCAGGAAUUAUAAUCCUCCCUAUCAACCACUUACUUGAUGACUUGAGGGAUUGCAGGAUAGAAUUCAUUUCAAUUUCUGGAGACUUCCUUAACAGAGAAAGCCUCCAAAAAACUGAUUCAGCCACUGGACAACAAGUUCCCCAGAAUAGAAGCUUUAACACAGGUCAAGGUAAUGAUAUGAUCACAUGAUUUCUCUCCUUUACUUUGUUAGUAUGGUGAACUGCACUGAUUUUGAUUCUUAGCUCAGACUGCAUUCUUGAAAUAAAUGUAAUUUGGUCAUCA